UUGGGGGUCUGUGGGGGCUCUGAGGGGAUUUGGGGGGGUUCAGGGGGGGAUCUGUGGGGGUUUUGGGGGGUUCUAAGGGGGUUCUGUCCCCAUUGUCCCCAUUGUCCCUAUUGUCCCUAUUGUUCCCAUGUCCCCAAAUCCCAUUGUCGCCAUGUCUGUGUGUCCCCAUAUCUGUGUGUCCCCAUUUGUCCCCAUUGUCCCCACUGUCCCUAUUGUCCCCAUAUCCCAUUGUCCCCUCUGUCCCCAUUUGUCCUCAAUGGCCCCAUUUCUGUCUGUCCCCAUUUGUCCCCAUUUGUCCCCACUGACCCCAUUUGUCCCCACUGCCCCUAUUGUCCCCAUUUCCCUAUUUGUCCCCAUUGUCCCCAUAUCUGUGUGUCCCCAUUUGUCCCCAUUGUCCCCACUGUCCCUAUUGUCCCUAUUGUCCCCAUUUCCCUAUUUGUCCCCAUUGUCCCCAUAUCUGUGUGUCCCCAUUUGUCCCCAUUUGUCCCCACUGUCCCUAUUGUCCCUAUUGUCCCCAUUUCCUUAUUUGUCCCCAUUGUCCCCAUAUCCGUGUGUCCCCAUUGUCCCCUUUGUCCCGCUGUCACCACCCCAUUCCGGUCCCAUCCGCCCCGCAGGGUGGUGACAGUGACAUUGUGUAGGGUGACAUUGUCACCUCAACGGGGGAGGGGGGGGAGGGGACAGCAGGAAGUGACACACGGGGAAGGGGGGG
rnacentral:lncRNA from 1 species